CCUACGGGAGGCAGCAGUGGGGAAUAUUGCGCAAUGGGCGAAAGCCUGACGCAGCGACGCCGCGUGAGGGAUGAAGGUCUUCGGAUCGUAAACCUCUGUCAGCAGGGAAGAACGGUCACUGUGCUAAUCAGCAGUGAAUUGACGGUACCUGCAAAGGAAGCACCGGCUAACUCCGUGCCAGCAGCCGCGGUAAUACGGAGGGUGCGAGCGUUAAUCGGAAUUACUGGGCGUAAAGCGCUCGUAGGCGGUAUGUCAAGUCAAGGGGGAAAUCCCCGCGCUCAACGUGGGAACUGCCUUUGAAACUGGCAAACUGGAGUGUGUGAGAGGAUAGUGGAAGUCCAGGUGUAGGAGUGAAAUCCGUAGAUAUCUGGAGGAACAUCAGUGGCGAAGGCGACUAUCUGGCACAUAACUGACGCUGAGGAGCGAAAGCGUGGGUAGCAAACAGGAUUAGAGACCCUAGUAGUC
rnacentral:rRNA from 1 species